AUGGAGACUAGCAUCGCGAUUCAAACUAAUAGAUUUCGUCGCAUCCCAGGCCUCACCCCGAUUUGUAAUGUAUGUGGGGCCGAGGAUGAAACAGGCUUCCAUAUGGCACAUCGAUGCACAUUUGCAAGGGCCUUGUGGCACGAACUCAAGGAGGCAUGGAACCUGCCUCCUGAGCAGGAAGUAGAAUAUACUGGAAGGGAUUGGGUCCUAAUCUUGCUAGAUAAGGUGAGUGAAGAUAUGAAACAAAAAUUUAUGCUAUUUUGGUGGCGUGUUUGGCACCAUAGAAAUGACGCGAUCUUCGCAAAAGGUAAAGCGAAAAUUUCCCACUCUGCUCGUUUUCUGCAAAACUACCUUGCAAACAUCCGCUUGAUUGCGGAGGGAACUUCUGAGAUAGAUCGAAAAGGGAAAAGUCCGAUGGUUAACUUGCCAUCAGUGCAACAACAUGAUCAUACAAAGGAAAAAGGAUGGACAAUGCCAGAGCUCGGAUGGGCUAAGGUCAAUGUUGAUGGAAGUUUUUUGGAGGAAAAUAGGAGUGGAGCCUGGGGAGCUGUGAUUCGAGAUCAUGAUGGAAGAAUUAUCUUAUCAGCUUGGGAUUAUAUACCGCGGUGCAAUGGAGCGGACUGCGCGGAAGCCAUGGCUUGCCUAGAAGGACUAAGGAUGGCAAUGUCGGGGACGAAUCUACCCUUAAUCAUCGAGACGGAUUGCAGCUCGGUGACAAAGGCGCUUAUCCUCUCGUCUAUUGAUAGAUCGGAGGUUGCAACAAUUGUAAAGGAGUUUCAAGCCAUGAAAGGGAACAGAGAAGUAAAAGUUUGCAAAGUAGAUAGAAGGGACAAUAGGUUAGCUCAUAGUCUUGCCCAGUUGGGGCGUAGAGAGUUGCUUGGUGGGGUUAGGCAAGGCUCUGUGCCAACCUGCGUGUUGAGUGAGGCCUUGCACGAUUGUACGAACUAUGUUUCUCUACUUAAUUAA
rnacentral:rRNA from 1 species